UACGGGGGGGGCAAGCGUUGUUCGGAAUUACUGGGCGUAAAGGGCUCGUAGGCGGCCAACUAAGUCAGACGUGAAAUCCCUCGGCUUAACCGGGGAACUGCGUCUGAUACUGGAUGGCUCGAGAUUGGGAGAGGGAUGCGGAAUUCCAGGUGUAGCGGUGAAAUGCGUAGAUAUCAGGAGGAACACCGGUGGCGAAGGCGGGUCUCUGGGCCGAUACUGACGCUGAGGAGCGAAAGCGUUGGGAGCGAACAGG
rnacentral:rRNA from 1 species